CGAACGGUAGCACAGAGAGCUUGCUCUCGGGGCAGGCCUAACACAUGCAAGUCGAACGGUAACAGGAAGCAGCUUGCUGCUUCGCUGACGAGUGGCGGACGGGUGAGUAAUGUCUGGGAAACUGCCUGAUGGAGGGGGAUAACUACUGGAAACGGUGGCUAAUACCGCAUAACGUCGCAAGACCAAAGAGGGGGACCUUCGGGCCUCUUGCCAUCAGAUGUGCCCAGAUGGGAUUAGCUUGUUGGUGAGGUAACGGCUCACCAAGGCGACGAUCCCUAGCUGGUCUGAGAGGAUGACCAGCCACACUGGAACUGAGACACGGUCCAGACUCCUACGGGAGGCAGCAGUGGGGAAUAUUGCACAAUGGGCGCAAGCCUGAUGCAGCCAUGCCGCGUGUAUGAAGAAGGCCUUCGGGUUGUAAAGUACUUUCAGCGGGGAGGAAGGUGUUGUGGUUAAUAACCGCAGCAAUUGACGUUACCCGCAGAAGAAGCACCGGCUAACUCCGUGCCAGCAGCCGCGGUAAUACGGAGGGUGCAAGCGUUAAUCGGAAUUACUGGGCGUAAAGCGCACGCAGGCGGUCUGUCAAGUCGGAUGUGAAAUCCCCGGGCUCAACCUGGGAACUGCAUUCGAAACUGGCAGGCUUGAGUCUUGUAGAGGGGGGUAGAAUUCCAGGUGUAGCGGUGAAAUGCGUAGAGAUCUGGAGGAAUACCGGUGGCGAAGGCGGCCCCCUGGACAAAGACUGACGCUCAGGUGCGAAAGCGUGGGGAGCAAACAGGAUUAGAUACCCUGGUAGUCCACGCCGUAAACGAUGUCUACUUGGAGGUUGUGCCCUUGAGGCGUGGCUUCCGGAGCUAACGCGUUAAGUAGACCGCCUGGGGAGUACGGCCGCAAGGUUAAAACUCAAAUGAAUUGACGGGGGCCCGCACAAGCGGUGGAGCAUGUGGUUUAAUUCGAUGCAACGCGAAGAUCCUUACCUGGUCUUGACAUCCACGGAAGUUUUCAGAGAUGAGAAUGUGCCUUCGGGAACCGUGAGACAGGUGCUGCAUGGCUGUCGUCAGCUCGUGUUGUGAAAUGUUGGGUUAAGUCCCGCAACGAGCGCAACCCUUAUCCUUUGUUGCCAGCG
rnacentral:rRNA from 1 species